rnacentral:rRNA from 1 species
AAUGAACGCUGGCGGCAUGCCUAACACAUGCAAGUCGAACGAGACCUUCGGGUCCAGUGGCGCACGGGUGCGUAACGCGUGGGAAUCUGCCCUUGGGUUCGGAAUAACAGUUAGGAAUGACUGCUAAUACCGGAUGAUGUCGAAAGACCAAAGAUUUAUCGCCCGAGGAUGAGCCCGCGUAGGAUUAGCUAGUUGGUGAGGUAAAGGCUCACCAAGGCGACGAUCCUUAGCUGGUCUGAGGGGAUGAUUAGCCACACUGGGACUGAGACACGGCCCAGACUCCUACGGGAGGCAGCAGUGGGGAAUAUUGGACAAUGGGCGAAAGCCUGAUCCAGCAAUGCCGCGUGAGUGAUGAAGGCCUUAGGGUUGUAAAGCUCUUUUACCCGGGAUGAUAAUGACAGUACCGGGAGAAUAAGCUCCGGCUAACUUCGUGCCAGCCGCCGCAGUAA